AGGGUUUGAUCAUGGCUCAGAACGUACGCUGGCGGCACGCCUAACACAUGCAAGUCGAACGAAGUAGCAAUACUUAGUGGCAGACGGGUGAGUAACAUGUAGGUAUCUACCCUUUGGCCUGGAAUAACACGAGGAAACUUGUGCUAAUACCGGAUAAGUCUUUACGGAGAAAGCUUUAUGCACCAUUGGAUGAGCCUGCACUUGAUUAGUUUGUUGGUGGGGUAAUGGCCUACCAAGACUGUGAUCAAUAGCUGAUUUGAGAGGAUGAUCAGCCACAUUGGGACUGAGACACGGCCCAAACUCCUACGGGAGGCAGCAGUGGGGAAUCUUGCACAAUGGAGGAAACUCUGAUGCAGCGAUGCCGCGUGAGUGAAGAAGGCCCUUGGGUUGUAAAGCUCUUUCGUCGGGGAAGAAAAUGACUGUACCCGAAUAAGAAGGUCCGGCUAACUUCGUGCCAGCAGCCGCGGUAAUACGAAGGGACCUAGCGUAGUUCGGAAUUACUGGGCUUAAAGAGUUCGUAGGUGGUUGAAAAAGUUAGUGGUGAAAUCCCAGAGCUUAACUCUGGAACUGCCAUUAAAACUUUUCAGCUAGAGUAUGAUAGAGGAAAGCAGAAUUUCUAGUGUAGAGGUGAAAUUCGUAGAUAUUAGAAAGAAUACCAAUUGCGAAGGCAGCUUUCUGGAUCAUUACUGACACUGAGGAACGAAAGCAUGGGUAGCGAAGAGGAUUAGAUACCCUCGUAGUCCAUGCCGUAAACGAUGUGUGUUAGACGUUGGAAAUUUAUUUUCAGUGUCGCAGCGAAAGCGAUAAACACACCGCCUGGGGAGUACGACCGCAAGGUUAAAACUCAAAUGAAUUGACGGGGACCCGCACAAGUAGUGGAGCAUGUGGUUUAAUUCGAAGAUACGCGCAGAACCUUACCAACACUUGACAUGUUCGUCGCGACUCUAAGAGAUUAGAGUUUUCGGUUCGGCCGGACGAAACACAGGUGCUGCAUGGCUGUCGUCAGCUCGUGUUGUGAGAUGUUGGGUUAAGUCCCGCAACGAGCGCAACCCUCACUUUUAGUUGCCAUCAUUUAGUUGGGCACUCUGAAAGAACUGCCAGUGAUAAGCUGGAGGAAGGUGGGGAUGACGUCAAGUCCUCAUGGCCCUUACGUGUUGGGCUACACACGUGCUACAAUGGUAUCUACAACAGGAAGCAAGACUGCGAGGUCAAGCAAAUCCUUAAAAGAUACCUCAGUUCGGAUUGCACUCUGCAACUCGAGUGCAUGAAGCUGGAAUUACUAGUAAUCGUGGAUCAGCGUGCCACGGUGAAUGCGUUCCCGGGUCUUGUACACACCGCCCGUCACACCAUGGGAGUUGGUUCUACCUUAAGGCAAGGUUUCAAACCCUUGACCACGGUAUAGUCAGCGACUGGGGUGAAGUCAUAACAAGGUAGCCGUA
rnacentral:rRNA from 1 species